AACGAACGCUGGCGGCAUGCCUAACACAUGCAAGUCGAACGAACCUUUCGGGGUUAGUGGCGCACGGGUGCGUAACGCGUGGGAAUCUGCCCUUUGGUACGGAAUAACUCAUGGAAACGUGUGCUAAUACCGUAUGAUGUCUACGGACCAAAGAUUUAUCGCCAAAGGAUGAGCCCGCGUAGGAUUAGCUAGUUGGUGAGGUAAAGGCUCACCAAGGCGACGAUCCUUAGCUGGUCUGAGAGGAUGAUCAGCCACACUGGGACUGAGACACGGCCCAGACUCCUACGGGAGGCAGCAGUGGGGAAUAUUGGACAAUGGGCGCAAGCCUGAUCCAGCAAUGCCGCGUGAGUGAUGAAGGCCUUAGGGUUGUAAAGCUCUUUUACCCGGGAAGAUAAUGACUGUACCGGGAGAAUAAGCCCCGGCUAACUCCGUGCCAGCCGCCGCCGUAAUAC
rnacentral:rRNA from 1 species